rnacentral:rRNA from 1 species
UACGUAGGGUGCAAGCGUUGUCCGGAAUUAUUGGGCGUAAAGAGCUCGUAGGCGGUUUGUCGCGUCGGCUGUGAAAACUGGGGGCUCAACCCCUGGCCUGCAGUCGAUACGGGCAGACUAGAGUUCGGUAGGGGAGACUGGAAUUCCUGGUGUAGCGGUGAAAUGCGCAGAUAUCAGGAGGAACACCGGUGGCGAAGGCGGGUCUCUGGGCCGAAACUGACGCUGAGGAGCGAAAGCGUGGGGAGCGAACAGG